rnacentral:rRNA from 1 species
GACGAACGCUGGCGGCGUGCUUAACACAUGCAAGUCGAACGGAAAGGCCCUGCUUUUGUGGGGUGCCCGAGUGGCGAACGGGUGAGUAACACGUGAGUAACCUGCCCUUGACUUUGGGAUAACUUCAGGAAACUGGGGCUAAUACCGGAUAGGAGAUCCUGCUGCAUGGUGGGGGUUGGAAAGUUUCGGCGGUUGGGGAUGGACUCGCGGCUUAUCAGCUUGUUGGUGGGGUAGUGGCUUACCAAGGCUUUGACGGGUAGCCGGCCUGGGAGGGUGACCGGCCACAUUGGGACUGGGGUAGGGCCCGGACUCCAACGGGAGGCAGCAGUGGGGAAUAUUGCACAAUGGGCGGAAGCCUGAUGCAGCGACUCCGCGUGCGGGAUGACGGCCUUCGGGUUGGAAACCGCUUUCGCCUGUGACGAAGCGUGAGUGACGGUAAUGGGUAAAGAAGCACCGGCUAACUACGUG